rnacentral:rRNA from 1 species
AUUGAACGCUGGCGGAAUGCUUUACACAUGCAAGUCGAACGGCAGCACGGGGGCAGCCCUGGUGGCGAGUGGCGAACGGGUGAGUAAUACAUCGGAACGUGCCCGGUCGUGGGGGAUAACGUAGCGAAAGUUACGCUAAUACCGCAUACGAUCUUAGGAUGAAAGCGGGGGACCUUCGGGCCUCGCGCGAUUGGAGCGGCCGAUGUCAGAUUAGGUAGUUGGUGGGGUAAAGGCCUACCAAGCCGACGAUCUGUAGCUGGUCUGAGAGGACGACCAGCCACACUGGGACUGAGACACGGCCCAGACUCCUACGGGAGGCAGCAGUGGGGAAUUUUGGACAAAGGGCGCAAGCCUGAUCCAGCCAUUCCGCGUGCAGGACGAAGGCCUUCGGGUUGUAAACUGCUUUUGUACGGAACGAAAAGGCUCUGGCUAAUACCUGGGGCUCAUGACGGUACCGUAAGAAUAAGCACCGGCUAACUACGUG